CUUUCCCUCUUUCCUCCUGCCUUACACAUGCAAGUCGAACGGUAACAGGUCUUCGGAUGCUGACGAGUGGCGCACGGGUGAGUAAUACAUCGGAACGUGCCCGAUCGUGGGGGAUAACGGAGCGAAAGCUUUGCUAAUACCGCAUACGAUCUACGGAUGACAGCAGGGGACCGCAAGGCCUUGCGCGGACGGAGCGGCCGAUGGCAGAUUAGGUAGUUGGUGGGAUAAAAGCUUACCAAGCCGACGAUCUGUAGCUGGUCUGAGAGGACGACCAGCCACACUGGGACUGAGACACGGCCCAGACUCCUACGGGAGGCAGCAGUGGGGAAUUUUGGACAAUGGGCGAAAGCCUGAUCCAGCCAUGCCGCGUGCAGGAUGAAGGCCUUCGGGUUGUAAACUGCUUUUGUACGGAACGAAAAGACUCUUUCUAAUAAAGAGGGUCCAUGACGGUACCGUAAGAAUAAGCACCGGCUAACUACGUG
rnacentral:rRNA from 1 species